CUUUUAUAGGAUAGUAGUUUAAUCCAUUGGUCUUAGGAACCAAAAACCUUGGUGCAACUCCAAAUAAAAGUAA
rnacentral:tRNA from 1 species